UGCAUGUCUAAGUACAUGCCGUAUUAAGGCGAAACCCGCGAAUGGCUCAUUAAAUCAGUUAUGGUUCCUUGGAUCGUACCUUACUACUUGGAUAACUGUGGCAAUUCUAGAGCUAAUACAUGCAGCAGAGCUCCGACCUUCGGGGACGAGCGCUUUUAUUAGACCAAAACCAAUCGGACCUCGUGUCCGUCCUCCGUGGUGACUCUGUAUAACUUUGGGCUGAUCGCACGGGCCCGUCCCGGCGACGUAUCUUUCAAGUGUCUGCCUUAUCAACUUUCGAUGGUAGGUUACGCGCCUACCAUGGUCGUAACGGGUAACGGGGAAUCAGGGUUCGAUUCCGGAGAGGGAGCCUGAGAAACGGCUACCACAUCCAAGGAAGGCAGCAGGCGCGCAAAUUACCCACUCCCAGAACGGGGAGGUAGUGACGAAAAAUAACAAUACGGGACUCUUUUGAGACCCCGUAAUUGGAAUGAGUACACUCUAAAUCCUUUAACAAUUAGCAAUUGGAGGGCAAGUCUGGUGCCAGCAGCCGCGGUAAUUCCAGCUCCAAUAGCGUAUAUUAAAGUUGUUGCGGUUAAAAAGCUCGUAGUUGGAUCUCAGUUCCAGACGGGUGGUCCGCCAACCGGUGGUUACUGCCUGUUCUGAACAGCCAGCCGGUUUCUCUUGAUGAUCUUCACCGGUUGUCUUGGGUGACCGGCAAGUUUACUUUGAAAAAAUUAGAGUGCUCAAAGCAGGCGCGACGCCUGAAUAAUGGUGCAUGGAAUAAUGGAAUAGGACCUCGGUUCUAUUUUGUUGGUUUUCGGAACACGAGGUAAUGAUUAAGAGGGACAGACGGGGGCAUUCGUAUUGCGACGCUAGAGGUGAAA
rnacentral:rRNA from 1 species